rnacentral:misc_RNA from 1 species
CCGACUACCGGCGCCGUGUCCCGUCAUUCGUGUGGCUUAUGUUACUGUUGCCUUAAGUGCUUGCGUGCUGGUACCCGACCUACGGGAAGUGGUGCAUCAUACACGGUUGCCUCGCGGUGGACGCCUUCGGGUGUGCUGCUGCGGCCAGAUGGUGCUUGCGUCGUUGCCUCGUGGUGCYGGCACGUUUUYGUGCCUGGUGCUAUCAAGGCAGCCUCGCUCCCGCUGUUGGUUUCGGAUGUCGCUCACGAUAAAAGCUCAUGGCCCUUUAGGUUGCCUUGAACUGACCCUAAAUAUGCCUUCCUCGUUGAGAACAAWAGYGUUCCUCAACUCGUAGGUGGAUAUUGGCCCGCUCAAUUGCGACAACUGGCCCGGCGGUUGACUCCCCUYUCCAYGCAAGUGGACGGGCGAACACCUGUCGGUGUCGGACGUCAAAGAGGACGUGCUACCUGGUUGAUCCUGCCAGUAGUCA